CGCCAUCAUCUCCACCACCGCGAAUCAUCAUUUGAUCUCCCCGUGAAUUGCAACAGGUUCUGGUUUCCUACCUUACUGCUUCUGCAAUUUAGUUAUCCUUAUUCGAAAAUCCAAAAAAAAAAACUGUUCCUAUUUUGCUGCAUAAACCUUUCGUCACAAAGUUUUCAUCUCUACGACGAAAGAUACAUUGCAGAAUUCCAGCCGCAUAGUACCAUCUGUUUGAUCUUGC
rnacentral:lncRNA from 1 species